rnacentral:rRNA from 1 species
UACGGAGGGUGCGAGCGUUGUCCGGAAUCACUGGGCGUAAAGGGCGCGUAGGCGGUCUGCUAAGCGUGCGGUGAAAGCCCGGGGCUCAACCCCGGGUCUGCCGUGCGAACUGGUGGACUAGAGCACUGUAGAGGCGAGUGGAAUUCCGGGUGUAGCGGUGGAAUGCGUAGAGAUCCGGAAGAACACCGGUGGCGAAGGCGGCUCGCUGGGCAGUAGCUGACGCUGAGGCGCGACAGCGUGGGGAGCAAACAGG